CGGCGGCGGGGGAUCGCGACGCCCAGGGGUCGCGACGCACGGGGUAGAUGGAUUUGGAUGGAGGGUAUACACGUCUAUACGGGAAAAAUACGAGGAGUUGUACCCUGCGGGUGGGCCUCAGGAGAGGAAAGAGGUAUCCUAAUGGUAUAUCUCUAAUAUGGUGAAUUGUAAUAGUAUAUUUCCAACUCCUGAAAGUUGUAAUGGAGAAGGUUGCCAAGGCGGCAGCGGCACCAGUGACAAAGGAGGAGGUCGGGCAAGCCACGUGGAUGUUGCUACGCACCAUUGCAACGCAGGUGCUCGAUUUUUGCCUCUGUGAGUAGCAUAACACAGGUUUGCUUUUGAAGAUGUUUUUUGGUUCACAUUAUGGAUUAUGGAAAAACUGUAAAUGGAAGGCAGAAAUUAUUCAUGUAUCAUGAAUAUUUUGUUUUGAUACAAAAUCAGUUCACCAUUUGCAUAACGAGGCACAUAAUCAGUUCACCAUUUGCUUUUGAUACAUAUUGAAUUAUUGAUCUGUGUACCAGGGGGAUGUGGAAGGGAAUAACUUAUAUGGUUCAUGAGUUUCUUUUGGAUAUCAUUAGCUAUCAAAUUCAAUUCCUACUAAAUAUGUGGCUUGUUUCAGUUACUGAGUUUCAUAACAUAGAUUUGCCGUGGAUCAUCAUUUGCUUAUUGCCUAAUAAAUCCAGUGUAUGUAUAUGCAUACAAAUGGAAUUGGUUCCCUAGAUGGUAUUCAUUGUAUAUCUUUUCCUCAUGUUCCAAUCAAAUUUGUAGAGCACCACUUAGGUGAUUGAAAAAGGAAAUAAGCUUUGGUGGCAAGGUGAAUCACAUAAUCAAGCUAACUAUGACUUUCUGGAGCUGUUCUUUAUUUUCUUCUUUUCUUAUUUUGCAACAAUAGCUUCUUUUUGUUCUUUGCAGACCAUAGAUGUUUAAUAAUGAUCUAUCAGUGAAAAGAUUUGUGGCCUUCGGUACUGCUAACUAAGGACGGUAUGUAUGAUAUAUUGUUUACUUUCAUUUGCUUCCCAUCACUUCAAUCUGCUUCUGAAGAGAAAGAGCCCUUGUACAGAAUCCAGUGAGAAAGAGCCCUGGUACAGAAUCCUGGGACUCAUAUACAGUUUAAAUAUGAAAGGGUAACUGGUGUCUAUCACUUUGUAGUCAGAUAGCGUUUAGAACUACUGGAGCAUAAAUGCUUAUAUAUAUAUACACCUCGUAUGAGAUGUCCUGGUUUCCUGCUUAUUCAACAUAGUUUUCCUAGAAUACAAAAUAACCACUAUACUGGUUGGUUUCUUAGUAUAACCGGUAAUAACUUCUUUACUAAUGCUCAUACUACAGUCUGUUGUCGACAAAGAACGAAGAGGAGAUUACCUGGGAAAACUGUUCAGGUUGUGCCACACAUCACAGAUGAAAUACAACAGUUGAUGGCACAGAAGAGCCAGCUGAUGUCUGUGUCAUCGAACUUGGUGGCACAAUAGUUAAAAAGCCAUUCUGUAUCAUAUCAGCCAAUUGCGAAGUAGCAUAUUACUUUUGCUCAAUCGUUCCCAUAGAUGCAAGCAUUCCGGUGCCGGAGAUAAAAUAUUUUCGCCACAUAACAACAGUGGCAUUCUUGAUGCAGGAGACAUUGAAUCAAUGCCUUUCAUUGAAACAUUAGGCCAUUUUUCAUAUCGUGCUGGUAAGGAAAUUGUAAACUCCCAUAAUUUUCUUUUUUCUUUACAUAUUUUAAAACAUAAGAAUGUUGCUUCAGUGUUCAUUUUUUAUAUCGAUCGAUUGAGGUUGUCAGUGUGCCUACGGAUUAUUGCACAUUAAUGGAUAAAGAUGCAAGGAAAUUAUGCAUUUUAGUUUAACCUGAGGGGGGGACUUAGAGGUUGGUGUGCUCUUGGUCUUUUUAUCAGGAUGCAACUGUGUGGUAGUGCAUUUCAUUUGAGAAUUGCAUCUUGAGUAGAGUAGAGACCGGAUUUCUAUCCUUCACCUAAAAAGGAUAAAUCGGACUGGGUGAUGGGGGGUUUACCAUGAUGAUUUGGUCUGGGAGUGUGGGGUUGCGCAGUGGCGAUAGUGCCGGCGGUGCGCCAGCAGAGCCUUCGGGGGAUUGGUUGCGUGUGGUGUGAGGACUAGGAGGAGUUGGGGAUUUCGAAAGGUUGCUACUGCAUAGUGAUGUUUAUCUCGUCUGUGCUCUAGAAUUCUCAAAUCUAGACAAUUUCAGAUUUGUUAAUUUCUCACUGUAAAAAAGUUUAUACCUUGUGGUUAGCUUUGACUGAAUGUCUGUCUUGGCAAAAUCACGUUGUUCCACCAUAACUUCAAAAUUGUGUGUUUCUGUUGUUAUAAUUUCGAGUAUUUGGCAGACCAUGACCACUUCUCCCCAAGUGCAAAAACUCCUUAUAUACCUUAAGAGGGGUCUAAAAUUGUGAUGAUUCUUUUGGCCCUUCACUUGCAUUCACUACAAGUGGGGAUUGAGUUUGAAGGGCAGAUGACUUUGAAGGGCACAGAGGCUUCAGCUCCUGAUGUUCCUCCUGAUGAAGGAGUCAGAAGAGAACCUCAGAAAGGGCGAUUGCCCAAUGGGUAUAUGUUCAUCCACUUAUUAGAACUGCCAAUCUGGUUUUACAUUAUGUAUAUUCCUUCUUAUACAUUUAUCUCAUGCUUCAGGAGGACAACUGGUCCAGCACAUCGCUCAUCAAAGGGAAACUGGACUGCAGAAGAGGUAAAGUUAGCACUCUGGUCUCCCAAACUCGCUUACUAUUAUGCUUUCUUAAUAAAAUAAUUUAAAUAGUGAGGUAGCUAGCCUAUCUUUGGUAGCUUUGAGGAAUCCUAUGCUGAACACUUAUUCUUUAUAACAUAAUUUAUACCAGUAGAUAGAGCAGAUAAAUAGCAAAUAGAUAUAGAACUUCUCACCAGACAUUAAUAGUUGAUAAUAGGUAGGGAUUAUUGUUCUGAUUGAUCCCCUUGCUGUAUUUAUUUUCAUUUACAAUAUAGGAGUUAUGUUUUUGGCCCGCUAACUAGAGGAAACCUUCCUUUUGUAAAAUUACAAAUAGAAUAUUAAAGCUAUCGUGUCCACACUUCUCAUGAUCAUUACUAUGCAGAUGAAUUCUCUGAAGUCUGACAGGAGUCAUUCUAAUGUAUAUUAACAUUCCCAAUGAUAUUUUCUGCAUUUUUGCUGCCGAAUACUCUUGAAAUUACACGAGAAAGAUCUAUCACAUCUCAUGAUUAGCAUGCCUAGAAUUUGUUUCUUUGAAUGUGCAUUCUUUGUUUGGAGCAUAUGUAUUGCAAACUGAUAGUUAGCUGCAGUCACACAAGCCACAUUGAUUUGGUGAUAAAUACUGACAUCAGAUGUGAUGGUAUGAUAUCUUUAUUUAAAUGGCACAACCAUCUUAAUCCAGGGAUCAAUAAGGACGCUUGGCCACAAGAAGAGGAAAUCAAGCUCAUCCAUGCUCAUCAAACCUAUGGAAACAAAAUAACCGAUUUAGAAUUAAGAGUAGUACUGAGCUUCAGUCUGUUAGUAAAGCAAAACUGAUUGCAUUAGCUCAGUACAAAACAGAAGUAUGAUGGCAAUAAA